UGGGGAAUAUUGCACAAUGGGCGCAAGCCUGAUGCAGCCAUGCCGCGUGUGUGAAGAAGGCCUUCGGGUUGUAAAGCACUUUCAGCGAGGAGGAAGGGUUCAGUGUUAAUAGCACUGUUCAUUGACGUUACUCGCAGAAGAAGCACCGGCUAACUCCGUGCCAGCAGCCGCGGUAAUACGGAGGGUGCAAGCGUUAAUCGGAAUUACUGGGCGUAAAGCGCACGCAGGCGGUUUGUUAAGUCAGAUGUGAAAUCCCGCGCUUAACGUGGAACUGCAUUGAAACUGGC
rnacentral:rRNA from 1 species